GACGAACGCUGGCGGCGUGCUUAACACAUGCAAGUCGAACGGAAAGGCCCUGCUUUUGUGGGGUGCUCGAGUGGCGAACGGGUGAGUAACACGUGAGUAACCUGCCCUUGACUUUGGGAUAACUUCAGGCAACUGGGGCUAAUACCGGAUAGGAGCUCCUGCUGCAUGGUGGGGGUUGGAAAGUUUCGGCGGUUGGGGAUGGACUCGCGGCUUAUCAGCUUGUUGGUGGGGUAGUGGCUUACCAAGGCUUUGACGGGUAGCCGGCCUGAGAGGGUGACCGGCCACAUUGGGACUGGGAUGCGGCCCAGACUCCUACGGGAGGCAGCAGUGGGGAAUAGUGCACAAUGGGCGGAAGCCUGAUGCAGCAACGCCACGGGCGGGAUGACGGCCUUCGGGUUGGAAACCGCUUUCGCCUGUGACGAAGCGUGAGUGACGGUAAUGGGUAAAGAAGCACCGGCUAACUACGUG
rnacentral:rRNA from 1 species